rnacentral:sRNA from 1 species
GCCAGGUGCGGUGGUGCAUGCCUGUAAUUCCAGCAGCUUGGGAGGCUGAGACAGGAGAAUUUUGAGUUCAAAGCCAGACUCAGCAAAUGUGAGGCACCAUGCAACCCAAUGAGACCCUGUCUCUA